rnacentral:tRNA from 1 species
GCUUUCAUGGUGUAGUGAUCAGCACUCUGGGCGCGUAUUCCAGAGGUCCGUGGUUCGAAUCCCGGAGAGGGCA